CUCUCCCAGUGCAGUCACCUCUUGCUCCACUGAGAGAUACUGUGAAGUGUGUGAAGCAAUGACUAACACUAGACUGACUGGACAUCCCCAUUGCAGUGAUUGACCAGUUUGCUAGGAUGUACUCCAGGGGAAUAGUGCAUGGAGAUCCUACAAGAUGACUGACUCAUAAUUGUCACGCUAUGCAUGUAAAAGACGCACCGCAAUAAAUGCGGAGGAGGAAAAUCGCGCGCGCUAUGCGCGCGACCUCAUUUUUUCUGUGCUCUUGAGCACCCCUCUGCUUCAAUCUCUAGAAACGCCCCUGUGGUGGUCGUACUUUUUUAAUUAAUUAUUGUUGUAAGAAUUGAUGUGAAAAACCAUAAUUAUUGCAGGAUGAUGUUGAAAGUGACACGUGUUGGAGAGAGCAUUAUACUGGACACCCUUGUAUGACCAGACCACUGUAAAGUAUCGACAUAAUUGGAGUUGCAGCUUUAAAGGAUGGAUGGAGUAAUUAUAUUAUUUAUGGAGCUGACUGCCAAGGCCAGCUAGCAAGAAAAGAGAGAGAGAGGAACUGCUAGAUGUCUCUGCAAUUCUUCUUUCACUGUCUCUAGGAGUCUAGCUCUAUAGGCUACAAGAUCUGGUUGCCUCUGACGCAGGUUGUUGACUUCUUCUACAACGUUUAAUAUAAGAAUACACAUCUAAAAAGGACCUCUACAACGACUACUAUAUAAAUGUACCUGUGUCUAUGUCAUCAUUACUGUACUGAUUGAGCUCGAGAUUGAGGUUCCUUGUCACACUACUUGAGAAUAUGUACAUAUAUAAAUUGGAAUGCUCAUGCCAUCAAUGAUUUCAACCCAUCAUGACCAGAAGCAUCGUGGACACACCUAUACUUUAGGAACUAUCAGAAUUUGGCAGUUAAGUUACUGGCUGUGGACAUGGCUGGUCUGUGACAGUACAAACAGUCAAACAAAAAAUGUAUAAUGUGACAGAGGACAUGGCUGGUCUGUGGACAGUACGAACAGUCAAACAACACAUUAUAUUGUGACAGAGGACAUGGCUGGUCUGUGGACAGUACGAACAGUCGAACAACACAUUAUAUUGUGACAGAGGACAUGGCUGGUCUGUGGACAGUACGAACAGUCGAACAACACAUUAUAUUGUGACAGAGGACAUGGCUGGUCUGUGGACAGUACGAACAGUCGAACAACACAUUAUAUUGAGGACAUGGCUGGUAGUACAAACAGUCAAACAGAAAAUUUAUAAAUUGACACACUCGAGCAGCACAAGCACUAGAAGAAACAUUCCUAUUAGUGUUGUAAACUGUCGAACUGUCUGGCUAUGUUUGUUUCUUAAAAAUUUUAACACUUCGUUGAA